GACGAACGCUGGCGGCGCGCCUAACACAUGCAAGUCGAACGAGCGAGAGAGAGCUUGCUUUCUCAAGCGAGUGGCGAACGGGUGAGUAACGCGUGAGGAACCUGCCUCAAAGAGGGGGACAACAGUUGGAAACGACUGCUAAUACCGCAUAAGCCCACGACCCGGCAUCGGGUAGAGGGAAAAGGAGCAAUCCGCUUUGAGAUGGCCUCGCGUCCGAUUAGCUAGUUGGUGAGGUAACGGCCCACCAAGGCGACGAUCGGUAGCCGGACUGAGAGGUUGAACGGCCACAUUGGGACUGAGACACGGCCCAGACUCCUACGGGAGGCAGCAGUGGGGAAUAUUGCACAAUGGGGGAAACCCUGAUGCAGCGACGCCGCGUGGAGGAAGAAGGUCUUCGGAUUGUAAACUCCUGUUGUUGAGGAAGAUAAUGACGGU
rnacentral:rRNA from 1 species